rnacentral:rRNA from 1 species
AUGAACGCUGGCGGCGUGCCUAAUACAUGCAAGUCGAACGAGAUCUCGUUGAUGAUCGGUGCUUGCACCGAGAUUCAACAUGGAACGAGUGGCGGACGGGUGAGUAACACGUGGGUAACCUGCCCUUAAGUGGGGGAUAACAUUUGGAAACAGAUGCUAAUACCGCAUAGAUCCAAGAACCGCAUGGUUCUUGGCUGAAAGAUGGCGUAAGCUAUCGCUUUUGGAUGGACCCGCGGCGUAUUAGCUAGUUGGUGAGGUAAAGGCUCACCAAGGCGAUGAUACGUAGCCGAACUGAGAGGGUGAUCGGCCACAUUGGGACUGAGACACGGGCCAAACUCCUACGGAGCAGCAGUAGGGAAUCUUCCACAAUGGACGCAAGUCUGAUGGAGCAACGCCGCGUGAGU